UACGUAGGGGGCAAGCGUUAUCCGGAAUCAUUGGGCGUAAAGGGUGCGUAGGCGGCCUAUAAAGUCUGGGGUGAAAGGCUACGGCUUAACCGUAGUAAGCCUUGGAAACUUAUGGGCUUGAGUGCAGGAGAGGAGAGUGGAAUUCCUAGUGUAGCGGUGAAAUGCGUAGAUAUUAGGAGGAACACCAGUGGCGAAGGCGACUCUCUGGACUGUAACUGACGCUGAGGCACGAAAGCGUGGGUAGCGAACAGGAUUAGAUACCCUGGUAGUCCACGCCGUAAACGAUGAGUGCUAGGUGUCGGGGGCGACAGCCCUCGGUGCCGCAGCAAACGCAUUAAGCACUCCGCCUGGGGAGUACGUUCGCAAGAAUGAA
rnacentral:rRNA from 1 species